rnacentral:miRNA from 1 species
UGUAAUUCCGUUUGGUGGAUACU